rnacentral:sRNA from 1 species
CUGCUGCGGGGAGAUAAAGUGAAUGUGCGUAUCCAGACCUCCCGCAGUGAGGAUCAGACCCUCACCGGCCAGAGCUUCUGUGGAGGCGCCUACUGUCAUGCCGGGGGUUACGCCAUCCAUGACAGAGGGAUUGCCGGCUUUUCCGAUGCCGGCGAUUUUUCCGUCUUUAAUUCCGAUAUCAGCUUUGUAAAUGCCGGUGUAGUCUACUACCAGACAGUUGGUGAUCACCAGAUCCAGAUCGCCGUCGGCGCUGGCGGUAGUUACAGACUGGCCCAUACCGUCCCG